rnacentral:lncRNA from 1 species
GGGAGGAGUCCCAUUGAUGCCAGACAAGGGCAUCUUCUGUUACAUAUGAGGCUGGAGCCAUCCGUAACUCCAUGUGUACUUUUUGUUGGUGGUUUAUUCCCUGGGAGCUCUGGAGUGUCUGGUUGGUUGAUAUUGUUGUUUUUCUUAUGGGGUUCAGGUCCACUGGGGACCCUGAACUCAGUCUAAUGGUUGGCUGUGAUAAUCCACCUCUGUAUUUGUCAUGCUCUGGCAGAGUCUCUCAAAUGACAGUCGUAUCUGGCUCAUAUCAGCUUGCACUUCUUCUAAACAGUCUCAUAACCCAUAAAGUAAUAGAAACAGCCAUUGAAAGACUCCCAAUCAAAAAAUGUUCAGGACUAGAUGGGUUUAGUUCAGAAUUCUAUCAGACUUUCAAAGAAGACCAGUACCAAUACUCUUCAAAUUAUUCUACAAAAUAGAAACAGAAGGAACAGUACCCAAUUCGUUCCAGGAGGCCACAAUUACACUUAUACCUAAGCCACACAAGGACCCAACAAAGAAAGAGAACUUCAGACCAAUUUCCCUUAUGAAUACUGAUGAAAAAUACUGAAUAGAAUUCUCACAAACUAAAUCCAAGAACACAUCAUAACAAUCAUCUGUCAUGAUCAAGUAGGCUUAAUCUAAAGAAUGCAAGGAUAGUUCAAUAUACAAAAAUCCAUUAGUG